GUGCCAGCAGCCGCGGUAAUACGUAGGGUGCGAGCGUUAAUCGGAAUUACUGGGCGUAAAGCGUGCGCAGGCGGUUGUGUAAGACAGAUGUGAAAUCCCCGGGCUCAACCUGGGAACUGCAUUUGUGACUGCACAGCUAGAGUACGGCAGAGGGGGAUGGAAUUCCGCGUGUAGCAGUGAAAUGCGUAGAUAUGCGGAGGAACACCGAUGGCGAAGGCAAUCCCCUGGGCCUGUACUGACGCUCAUGCACGAAAGCGUGGGGAGCAAACAGGAUUAGAUACCCUGGUAGUCCACGCCCUAAACGAUGUCAACUGGUUGUUGGGUCUUAACUGACUCAGUAACGAAGCUAACGCGUGAAGUUGACCGCCUGGGGAGUACGGCCGCAAGGUUGAAACUCAAAUGAAUUGACGG
rnacentral:rRNA from 1 species